rnacentral:rRNA from 1 species
CCUACGGGUGGCAGCAGUGGGGAAUAUUGCACAAUGGGCGCAAGCCUGAUGCAGCCAUGCCGCGUGUGUGAAGAAGGCCUUCGGGUUGUAAAGCACUUUCAGCGGGGAGGGAGGCGGUGAGGUUAAUAACCUCAUCGAUUGACGUUACCCGCAGAAGAAGCACCGGCUAACUCCGUGCCAGCAGCCGCGGUAAUACGGAGGGUGCAAGCGUUAAUCGGAAUUACUGGGCGUAGAGCGCACGCAGGCGGUCUGUCAAGUCGGAUGUGAAAUCCCCGGGCUCAACCUGGGAACUGCAUUCGAAACUGGCAGGCUAGAGUCUUGAAGAGGGGGGUAGAAUUCCAGGUGUAGCGGUGAAAUGCGUAGAGAUCUGGAGGAAUACCGGUGGCGAAGGCGGCCCCCUGGACAAAGACUGACGCUCAGGUGCGAAAGCGUGGGGAGCAAACAGGAUUAGAUACCCCAGUAGUC